rnacentral:lncRNA from 1 species
AUGUACUUUCACUUGCAUGUAACUGCUCUCUACAUAGAGGUUUGCUUUGCUUAUCUGACCAAAAUAGAAAUCCCCCUGCAGUUCCUGCCUAGAUGUCCAGUGCUGACCACGCCAAGGAUGAUCCACCCCUGCAGAAGAGCCCAAGGAGGAGACCAGCUGGCUCUGAGCCCCUGUUCCAUUGUCUCACCCUGGCCCCUGCAAAGCUCAUGGGGGGAUGGAUUCCUGGCGUCCAAAGAUUGGCUGUUUUCCAUUCAGCCUUUGGUGGAGAGACUAAAGUCUUCUGAAUUUACCCUUUUCUUGAGACACAAAUGUGAUCUGCAUGACUGGCCAACAUCAGGGUUUCCUUGUGGUUUCGUUCUUUAUUUGCUAUCAGGUAAGCAGACACUCUUGGCAAGAUUCUGAAGAGGUUACAUCCGUUUUUAAAUUUCAAAUUUGUUGCCUCCUGUGGAAAAAAUAUGUGCCUUAUUAGCACUCACAGAUCUGGGUAUUCACAAAAAUCUGGUUAGGUAGCCUUUCUGCAUAUUACUGUUUAUUUCUUCAAAUAGAUUAAGGAACUGGGAAGAAUAAUGGAUUAAUGUGCCAUUUGACUUUAUCUUAAAUAUCAGAGAUAUCAGAUAAGUCCUCACUAGGGAGCAGUCUGUGGGGGAUGGGCUAAAAUUCAGGUAUCCCUCACUUUCUGAGUUCCCACCAACUGAAGAUUACAAACAAUUUCACUCCAAAUUCACUCUGAAUCAAAACCCAUACAUGCAAUUAAUCUACAUGCACCUGCCUGCCAAAUAUGUAUGUUAGAAUACACAUCUGGAGCAGAGGAUGCAGAGAGCACUGCAGCCCUAGCUCAGACCUUUUCCUGAUAGGCUGGAUCCUUGCUCAUGUUGUUUACAUGGGCUGUAUAUUGUAAAUAUCUUCACAUUAUUAAAGAAUUAUGAUUUGAACAUUGAUUCAGCCCCUAGCCUGGGAACCUCCAUAUGCCAUGGGUGCAGCCGCAAAAAGACAAAAAAAUUAAUCAUUCAAUUAUUUAACACUUGAUGGGCUUAUCAGUGGUAUGUUUGUAUAUAGCUCUCAAAGAUACUAUACAGGAUCAGAUAUGAGUUGUUUCUUUCUACACUGCAAUGAACAUGCACAUAAUGUGCUGUAUGGAUAUUAUCUCAUUUAAUCCUCUCAGUACCUCCAAAAUAGGUAUUAUUAUCUGCUUUUUAUGGAUGGAAAAAUUAGGUAUCAGAAAGAUUAGGUCAUUCACCCAUGCUUCAUUGCUCAGGUAUCAGAAAGAUUAGGUCAUUACCCAAGCUUCAUUGCUCAGGGGGUAAGGACAUAGCAUAGUUUGCAGACUCAGCUCGGAUAUGGCGUUGCUGUGGCUGUGGUGUAGGUUGGCAGCUGUAGCUCUGAUUUGACCCUUACAAAUAAAGGUUAAUUCAUUUUCUGUCUUUAUCCA